rnacentral:rRNA from 1 species
UCAGGCCUAACACAUGCAAGUCGAACGGUAACGCGGGGCAACCUGGCGACGAGUGGCGAACGGGUGAGUAAUGUAUCGGAACGUGCCCAGUUGUGGGGGAUAACUGCUCGAAAGAGCAGCUAAUACCGCAUACGACCUGAGGGUGAAAGCGGGGGAUCGCAAGACCUCGCGCAAUUGGAGCGGCCGAUAUCAGAUUAGGUAGUUGGUGGGGUAAAGGCUCACCAAGCCAACGAUCUGUAGCUGGUCUGAGAGGACGACCAGCCACACUGGGACUGAGACACGGCCCAGACUCCUACGGGAGGCAGCAGUGGGGAAUUUUGGACAAUGGACGCAAGUCUGAUCCAGCCAUGCCGCGUGCGGGAAGAAGGCCUUCGGGUUGUAAACCGCUUUUGUCAGGGAAGAAACGCUCUGGGGUAAUACCUCGGGGUAAUGAC